UACGGAGGGUGCAAGCGUUAAUCGGAAUUACUGGGCGUAAAGCGCACGCAGGCGGUUUUUUAAGUUAGAUGUGAAAUCCCCGGGCUUAACCUGGGAACUGCAUCUGAGACUGGAAAGCUAGAGUCUUGUAGAGGGGGGUGGAAUUCCAUGUGUAGCGGUGAAAUGCGUAGAGAUGUGGAGGAAUACCGGUGGCGAAGGCGGCCCCCUGGACAAAGACUGACGCUCAGGUGCGAAAGCGUGGGGAGCAAACAGG
rnacentral:rRNA from 1 species